ACCGGAUUAGAUACCCUGGUAGUCCACGCCGUAAACGAUGUCGACUUGGAGGCUGUUCCCCUGAGGAGUGGCUUCCGGAGCUAACGCGUUAAGUCGACCGCCUGGGGAGUACGGCCGCAAGGUUAAAACUCAAAUGAAUUGACGGGGGCCCGCACAAGCGGUGGAGCAUGUGGUUUAAUUCGAUGCAACGCGAAGAACCUUACCUACUCUUGACAUCCAGAGAACUUUCCAGAGAUGGAUUGGUGCCUUCGGGAACUUUGAGACAGGUGCUGCAUGGCUGUCGUCAGCUCGUGUUGUGAAAUGUUGGGUUAAGUCCCGCAACGAGCGCAACCCUUAUCCUUUGUUGCCAGCGAUUCGGUCGGGAACUCAAAGGAGACUGCCGGUGAUAAACCGGAGGAAGGUGGGGAUGACGUCAAGUCAUCAUGGCCCUUACGAGUAGGGCUACACACGUGCUACAAUGGCGCAUACAAAGAGAAGCGACCUCGCGAGAGCAAGCGGACCUCAUAAAGUGCGUCGUAGUCCUGAUCGGAGUCUGCAACUCGACUCCGUGAAGUCGGAAUCGCUAGUAAUCGUGGAUCAGAAUGCCACGGUGAAUACGUUCCCGGGCCUUGUACACACCGCCCGUCACACCAUGGGAGUGGGUUGCAAAAGAAGUAGGUAGCUUAACCUUCGGGAGGGCGCUUACCACUUUGUGAUUCAUGACUGGGGUGAAGU
rnacentral:rRNA from 1 species